rnacentral:misc_RNA from 1 species
CUGGGUGGCUUCGGCCUAAACCCCCUAACCAUUGUGAACGAUACCAGUUGCUUAGCCGGUGGCGGUGAAAACUGCAGUACCGGCGGCACAAAACUCUUCUAAUGUCAUCUCUGAGUUACUUUUAAAUAAGUCA